rnacentral:rRNA from 1 species
AUUGAACGCUAGCGGCAGGCCUAACACAUGCAAGUCGAACGAGUGGCGGACGGGUGAGUAAUGUCUGGGAAACUGCCCGAUGGAGGGGGAUAACUACUGGAAACGGUGGCUAAUACCGCAUACCAUCAGAUUUGCCCAGAUGGGAUUAGCUAGUUGGUGGGGUAACGGCUCACCAAGGCGACGAUCCCUAGCUGGUCUGAGAGGAUGACCAUCCACACUGGAACUGAGACACGGCCCAGACUCCUACGGGAGGCAGCAGUGGGGAAUAUUGCACAAUGGGCGCAAGCCUGAUGCAGCCAUGCCGCGUGUAUGAAGAAGGCCUUCGGGUUGUAAAGUACUUUCAGCAGGGAGGCGUUACCCGCAGAAUAAGCACCGGCUAACUCCGUGCCAGCAGCCGCGGUAAUUC